rnacentral:miRNA from 1 species
CUCGUGACUUCAGCUCCAGCA